rnacentral:rRNA from 1 species
ACGUUAGCUGCAGAAGAAGCACCGGCUAACUCCGUGCCAGCAGCCGCGGUAAUACGGAGGGUGCGAGCGUUAAUCGGAAUUACUGGGCGUAAAGCGCAUGCAGGUGGUUUGUUAAGUCAGAUGUGAAAGCCCGGGGCUCAACCUCGGAAUUGCAUUUGAAACUGGCAGACUAGAGUACUGUAGAGGGGGUAGAAUUUCAGGUGUAGCGGUGAAAAUGCGUAGAGAUCUGAAGGAAUACCGGUGGCGAAGGCGGCCCCCUGGACAGAUACUGACACUCAGAUGCGAAAGCGUGGGGAGCAAACAGGAUUAGAUACCCUGGUAG